AGCUGAAUACCUGUUUUUCGCAAGGGAUGAAUAAAACCAGUACUGAGAAACAUUACGAAAUCAUGCUCAGAAUUGAAAAAGCAUAUACCGACACAAUUAAAGAGCUUGAUGCAAGCACCAGGUUCUGAUAUUCCAAGUCCUGUGACACCUAGGGAAUCUCCUUCUUUCCAACCCAAUUUCUUCAGCAUUUGAUAGCCUUUGUUGGACUCAUUCACAGACCUAAAACAAUGUAUACAAAAAUAACGUACUGAAUGCUACAAUAACAUAAGUGAAACUAAUAAGGCAUAAUAUUUAUGUAAAUAAAAUGUUUUAAUAAAUGAAUUGUAGGUAA